rnacentral:rRNA from 1 species
CCUACGGGAGGCAGCAGUGGGGAAUCUUGCGCAAUGGGCGAAAGCCUGACGCAGCAACGCCGCGUGCGGGAAGAAGGCUUUCGGGCUGUAAACCGCUUUCAGCAGGAACGAAAAUGACGGUACCUGCAGAAGAAGGAGCGGCCAACUAUGUGCCAGCAGCCGCGGUGAUACAUAGGCUUCAAGCGUUGUCCGGAUUUAUUGGGCAUAAAGAGUUCGUAGGCGGUCGAGUAAGUCGGGUGUGAAAAUUCUGGGCUCAACCCAGAGACGCCACCCGAUACUGCUUAACUUGAGUUCGAUAGGGGAGUGGGGAAUUCCUAGUGUAGCGGUGAAAUGCGCAGAUAUUAGGAGGAACACCGGUGGCGAAGGCGCCACUCUGGAUCGAUACUGACGCUGAGGAACGAAAGCAUGGGUAGCAAACAGGAUUAGAUACCCUGGUAGUCCAUGCCGUAAACGGUGGGCACUAGGUGUGGGAUUCUAUUAACGAAUUCCGCGCCGUCGCUAACGCAUUAAGUGCCCGCCUGGGGAGUACGGUCGCAAGGCUAAAACGUCAAAGGAAUUGAACGG